CUCGCUCUAGUCGCGCUAUAACACCAUGAACUAGUACCAACUAACGUUCAUCGUACUCCCAGGUGUUCAGCGCGAAGAGCGACUGCCUGACAUCGAUUCAAAGCUUGGCCAAGAAGAAUUAAGGUAAAGAAAUUGAUAUCGGUACACAAACGUUUCCCCGCGAUACAAAAAAGAGACAGGCCUUUCUGGCGUCUUCUACUCCCACACGGUGCCCGAACACACACGCAACACAACGGACAGUAGAAGACACCACAAACACAACUUAUCUACACAGUCAACACACGCAAACUGAAAGCAAUGACCACAAGGAGCAUCAUGGGGGGCACGGAGGUGAUGGGGGGCAUCGUUAACAUCGAUAUGUUUUGAUUUCGAGGCCACUCGAUUGAGCCAGGCCGAACAAGCGUACUUUGUGAAAUAGGUGUUUCAAGUAAGUAAUCUACAACAAAGGAGCACUAAUGACAACAAAACUAAAUGAAUCUUUUAGCAGUUAAACGCUACAGCUUCAUCUAUGGACGCUUUUUCGGAUUAAUGCGUGAAUGCGGAAAGUGAAACAACCACAAGCGCGUGAAAACUUGUGAAGGGCGUAAAGGCCGUUUGCGCGCGCUCUGAUGGCACGGUUGGAAACGUGCGAUUUAUCGUGUGUUCGUGAAGUGCGCGGCGCCGAACGCUAGUGCCGGAUUUCACUGGAGGAAAAGAGACAACGAGGAACUGUAUCCGAGAGAACAAACGUGUAUCUUUUCUGAACCUCUGUGAAGUCGUCCCGCUGUGCCUACAUCGAGAUACCUGCACGGCCUGUUACGAUGGUGACAUCUCAGAGGAUCCGAAAGAAACCACUUUGUUUGCACAUGCAUUCCACAGCAUCAAGAUGAUGUUUUUAGUGCCGUGGUGGAGUGCUUCGCAGUGUGUACCUCUCUUCAGUGAAUAUGUGGCCCAAAAAAUCUUUCCUUGCCUACUAUAGCUAAGGCCAGCAUUGAUGCAAUGUGCUUACAUAGAUGCCUGUGACUGCAUUGCGCAACAUCAUGCCACGAUUGGUGCCUCCUGGCACACAAGGAAGUGGUGUAGGCACCCAGUUGAACACCCAAGCUUACAUGGGGGAUUCCAAAGAGCAGCAUGGUUCCUACAACUCACCACAGCAUGGCAGCGAUAGCCCACGUGUGGCCAGCAACCAGUCACGCAAGAGAGGAAACUUCAAGUGCCGCUACUGUGGCCGUACUUUCGUCUACAUGACACCAUUCAUCGCCCACGAAUAUGCGCACGCAAACGAGAAGCGCUUUCUGUGCAGCUUCUGCCCCCAGGGCUUCGUCACUCGCCAGCUGCUGACAGUUCAUCUGCGCGUCCACAAGGAUGAGAUACUUGCCAACGACGAUCCUGUGCCAUAGGAGUGCAUUGGAACGGUGAUUCCGUGGCUUCAGACUAGGUAAAUUCGCUGAAGCAGCCUUCAUGGACAGGAAAGCCCUUCUACUACCUGGACCAACCUUUGAUUGUUCUAUUUUCUCUAGUGAUUCAAGACCAACUAAAGUUCAUUAUGCCAUGUUGUGUACUAACAACAGCCUGCUAAGUUGGUGUAACUGGCUGUGCACACCAUCUGAAUGUGGAGUUGUGCUGCGAUGUCGUGACUGCGAUUGUCACCUUGCGGAUUUGUGCGGUGGAUCUUCAUUGAUUCACGUACAUCGGUCCACAUGUGCCAUCUGCUAUCUUUUGCAUGCGAUGUUUUCUUUUGCCUAAUAUGCAGAAACUACUUAUGUACUCUUGGAGUGGUUUGUGGUGCAAGGUUUGUCUACGAAACCUCCUGAGCUCAACAAUUUUCUUUAAGCCGGAAGGGAAGCAAACAAGCGGACUUGCUUUUUCCAGGGCUAAUGAUUCAUUAUUUUGAAAGCUGUCAGUCACUGUGCUACCUGAGUUGCAGCAGACAGCAACUACAGUGGCACUAUGUGGCAGAAGUGAGCUGUCUGAUCUCUGAAAAACUUUGUAACAGCAUGAUGUGGUGCAACCCACAUCUGCCUUCAAGUUCUUUGGCAUGAGGCUUUUGGCAGGCUGUGCAGCUUCCUCAAUCUGUUAAAUAUUUUGUUUUGCGUGUGUAUGUGUUAUGAAGUCAUGCAUGGUGCAGCUGGCAUUUGCUCUAUUAGCAUCGGACUGGUGAUGAUUUUGCCGUCACCAAUACUAGUGCAGAAGUGCUUGUCUGGCUAAAGCAAUGCAGUGGCAAGCAAUUUGUAACAUAGAUUUUGGUAAAGACAUGCUUUUUGUUGUUACGUUAUUGUGCACCGCGUGAAAGAAGAAGACUUGGGAGACGAGCAACUACGCGAACACAAGCUCAAACUUUAGACUAAAUUUGUUGGACAGACACAAUGCUUUUAUGCAGUUGCUUUUCUUGGUUACAACAAAACAUUUACAAAUGGUUAUUUACGAGAAAUAUAAGCAUUACAAUACCAAUAACCACUCAUGCCGAGGAAACAUGCAACUACUGCACAUCCUGCAUUAUGAGUUCAGAUACAUUAGUAUGUUCGUCUGCAUUAGUCCCAAUGAAGCCAGACUGAUGCAGUCAUUCCCCAGGCAAAUAAUCUUGGAUGCCUCAAUGAUUUUGCUCGUCAUCUGAUUACAGUGCUUAGCGACCAUUUCAGUUUUACACAACUUUGGCUGGCAUCUAUGCCAGUUCUAUGCUUUGACUGCUUCUCUUGUUUUUUGUUGACUAGUUUUCAUUUGUAAUGUGAUGGCCUGCUGUUUUGAUAUUUUGUAUGGAUAGUCUGUUUAUUCAUGUAAUGCAUCAGCAUGAAACUCUAUAAGCCAACUCAGAAAACAUUGUGGCCACUAGGCGUUAAUGAGUAGCCAAAUGGAUGUGGCCCUCUAGAAACUGUGUGAUACCGUUCUACCGAGCAUCUUAUGCCUUGUUGCAUGUUUACGAUUCCGAAUUCUGUGUGGGUGAUCUGUGAGCAAAGUGCCUUGUCAAAAGUUAUGCUGCUCACUCUCCCUGGCUUUACUGGAAGUAUCUAUCUUCCACAAAUAAAUUGAAGGCAGCACCUUCUUUUUGAAUGUGUCCAAUAGGAUUGCAUAGGUUGACCAGCUUUGUGCAUGAACACAAGUCAGAACUGGGUUGUGGUGUUUCCCUCAUAUAACGGACGAGAGCUCGUGCACCCUAGUUUUUCAGUUGUAUGUGUGCAGCUUGGGAGUUGUCUGUGAGGAAUGGAGCACCAAUGAUGUGUUGCCUGUAAACUCUGGCUUGAAGAGAAGCAGCCACAAAGUUGUUAACAUGCGAGGGACCCAUGCAGCUGGCGGCACCAUGUUAGUUCAUUCAUUUUUUUUUUUCUGAGCUGCAAACAGUUAUAGAGAGGUCACUCUUUAGGCCUAACUCCACGAAUUCGUUAAAGCGCAUCAGCGAGUACGUUUUUGACUUGGCAUCGUGCCCUCCUCCUUAAAGAGAAAGGUCAUGUGGCUACCCGAAGCUGCGCGCUCUGUCUCUCGAUAUGAGAGAGGGCUUGGCGCCGACGCACUGCAACAACUACGUUGGGUCAGGCCUUUAGUGAUACAGCGGUCUUUGAAAGCACCAAUUUGCUCUUCCAUUCUGUUAAGCAAAAGCUGAUGAAGUAGAUCGCACUCUUUAGAAGCAGCAUUGCCAUCCUGCAGCAUAAACAAGUCAGUAAUACCUUGGAGUUGAGUGAGUGCUCACUUUGGAUGGCCAUUGUAAGUGUUAAAAAAGUCCAUUUCAUGGUGUUUGUGGAUCAGCCCUGUUAUAGAUGGCUGUCUUAGUUUGGCCAUUUGUUUGAUAAAGUUGUUUGGUAGAGGCCUGUGAUUUGUCAAACGAAGGAUUGCUUUUACAAAUACAUCCAACAUACUUCUAAAGAAAAACACUAUAAAAAAAAAAACGAUUUCCUGGCUUACCCUGGUUCAAUAAAUUAUGGUGUUUCUUGCAUGGGAAACUGCAAAAUGGCCGCCUGUAUAUUUCUGAACAAAUCAGUUUUCAGAGAUGUAAAGUGCUAUUGUAGCAGCAAUGAAUCAAGUCUUGUAACUGGCAGCCCAGGUAGAUUAAGGAUGUCGUACACUGGCGAAAUCAAGUUAAGUGUAUCUGUUCAGACUUGCCGAGUUCUCACAAUUGUAGUUUGUAGACGGCUGCGUUUGACCAGGAACAAGUUAUAGAUCUGUGACAGCUACAAAUUUUACUAGCCCAACUACUUACUGUUCAACUUAGUUACAUAUUAUAUUGAAGGGUGAUACACUGCUUGAUUGCAUCAAUCAUAAAUGACAGGCUUGUGUAUGAACAAGUAUUGAAUUGCCCAUGUAUAGUUCGUGCUAAAAUAGAGCAAGUGUUGCCAUUUGCCUAGCAUUGCAACAUUAUGUGAAUUAUUGAUCACACCUUCUUUUUCGUUCUUUCUGUUUUUGCCAUAAGCAUCAAAGUUGUUUUCAUACAGAAGCGCACGUAUGUUUUUCAGUAUGUGGUCUUGGUCACAAUGCUGUAAUUUGCAUCGAGAGAUGACUGGAUGUUACAUUCUUUUAUUAUUACUUCUGCAUUUGUUUUUUCUACAUAUACUUUUGCAGAGUGCCCACUUCCUCAUGUCGAACUGUUUGCCACAAUUUUGCUCGGAAACCACAGUGCAGCAACACUAGGCAUGAGGGGGGUCAGCCAUAGCCCGCAUUUGGGGCUGUGCUCGUGACUAUGCCCUAGGUCACUUUUAUUGCAGAAAUAAUUUACAUUUCUGCUCACUCGCAUGAUUUGCGUUCUGACACCUGUCAAGGGGCAGCUUAUUUGUUCGUAUCAAUGAGUGAUUAUUGCUGUAUUUGGCAUAUUUACCAGUUUUUGUGUGAGGGACUCACACAUAUACAAUCUGUGCUAAGUUGUAGCUUUCAGGAUAAUGUAACAGGACUGAGCACACUGGUUUUUUUGGAACCAAUUCUGUUCCUUUAUUUCUUGUCAUUCCUAUUAAAAAUUUCUGCACAAAGUUUGAAUUGAAUGGAAAAUGGAGACUCGAAGAGAUGAAAAAUUCUUGAACCAGUGGUGUCACUGUUGCUGUAGGUGAGUUUUCCAUAUGGACAAAGUUUAACAUACAUAUAUUUGGUGUAGUUGACUAGAAUGCUUUUGUGCCAUGCUCUCUCUUUGUACGUUACACAGGCUAAGUGCAACACGUUAGUUAGUUACAAUGUUGCCUCCUCUUUUGCGUUCUUGCACUUCAAUGCUUUUAGUGUUUUGUUUUGUGUAAUGCAUAUGUGGGCUUGGGUAUUUCAUAAAGUUGUAAUUGUCAGUGUUUAGAUCCCCUUUGAAAGCAAAGUAUAUAGGCAAGGGCCAUAAUUAAGGUGUCAUUGCACUGUGCCCAAAUGUUUCAAUAAAAUGCUUGGUUAUCCUCUCUGUUGACAA
rnacentral:misc_RNA from 1 species